rnacentral:lncRNA from 1 species
CCCAUAUGUACUCGACAGUUUUAAAGAUCUCAAACUUUACAAUGAGGUCGUCUUGCAUGGCACACGACAUAGUGUACCGAGCAGUUCUAUCCUCCUCGAUCCAUUUAUUAUAGAUCUCUUUUCAUGCUCAGAAGUUGUACUUUCGGCAGGCAUGACUCGUUUGACAGAGAGAGAGUUUCAAGAACCUCUUAUUCAUUAAGCAAGUAUUGCAUUUUCCUAUAUCAAAUAUCAUAGUUCUUUCCAUCUAGCUUAUCACCCCUGGUGAGAUCAGCUACGAUGUUUUUGGAAGUCAUUUCACUACAUUCAAAAAAAUAGGUUUGGACAUUAGGCACAUAUUCCAAAAAAAUAAUUAACAAGAUUGAAACAUUAUCUUCGACACAACGGGAUCGAAAACUUCGCUAUGCUCGUAAUCAUCACCCACUGUCGGUUCAAAAUAUCACAAUCUUAAUAAUUUUCUUCUAAUUUUGAAACUUAUCCAAAAGUUGGAACUCAUCCAUUUUGAAAAACACAUCAUUUUCUUGAAAAAAUUUUUAUUUAAGAAGAACUUAUCGCAUAAUAUCAUCACACAGAUAAAAAAUAAGUACUUAUGCCAAAAUUUAAUUUGAAAAACGUCAACGCUGCACAAAACACAUUCCUUUACAUGGCCUUAAUUAUUACAUCACCUUUUGCAUAAUAAAACCUACUACAUCACUACAAGAUGUACAUCAGAAAAGGAAUGUUCUACAGGAAUGCUGCACACGUCGAAUCCGUUUUUUCAAAAUUAAACUUUGUUGAAAAAACACCGAAAUAACAUAAGUACUUACAUGCCAAAAAAAAAAAUUUAUACAAUCACAUGCUACAUAAGCAUUUAAAAUUCACCCACAUAGGAUAAAUUAAACA